rnacentral:miRNA from 1 species
ACCCUAUCGAUAUUGCCUCUGC